UCUUUUCUAAACCAGUAGGUGAUGUAGAAUUUCAAGUUUUAAAUCACAAUGUGAAAAGUGCAUAUUUUUUUUGUUUUUAGGGACUGACCAUGCGUUUCAACAUACCAACUGGGACCAAUUUACCCCCUGUCAGUUUCAACUCUCAAACUCCUUAUAUUCCUUUCAAUUUGGGAGCCCUGUCAGCAAUGAGUAAUCAACAGCUGGAGGACCUCAUUAAUCAAGGAAGAGAAAAAGUCGUAGAAGCAACAAACAGUGUGACAGCAGUGAGGAUUCAACCUCUUGAGGAUAUAAUUUCAGCUGUAUGGAAGGAGAACAUGAAUCUCUCAGAGGCCCAAGUACAGGCGUUAGCAUUAAGUAGACAAGCCAGCCAGGAACUUGAUGUUAAACGAAGAGAAGCAAUCUACAAUGAUGUAUUGACAAAACAACAGAUGUUAAUCAGCUGUGUUCAGCGAAUACUUAUGAACAGAAGGCUCCAGCAGCAGUACAAUCAGCAGCAACAGCAACAAAUGACUUAUCAACAAGCAACACUGGGUCACCUCAUGAUGCCAAAGCCUCCAAAUUUGAUCAUGAAUCCUUCUAA
rnacentral:sRNA from 1 species